UACAGAGGUCUCAAGCGUUGUUCGGAUUCAUUGGGCGUAAAGGGUGCGUAGGUGGCGCGCUAAGUCGGGCGUGAAAUCCCGGGGCUUAACCUCGGGACUGCAUUCGAUACUGGCGUGCUUGAGGACUGGAGAGGAGACUGGAAUUCAUGGUGUAGCAGUGAAAUGCGUAGAGAUCAUGAGGAAGACCAGUGGCGAAGGCGGGUCUCUGGACAGUUCCUGACACUGAGGCACGAAGGCCAGGGGAGCAAACGGG
rnacentral:rRNA from 1 species